rnacentral:rRNA from 1 species
UGCCAGCAGCCGCGGUAACACGAGGGGCGCAAGCGUUAUUCGGAAUUAUUGGGCGUAAAGCGACCGCAGGCGGUCUGUCAGGUCCGAUGUGAAAUCCCAGGGCUCAACCCUGGACGUGCAUCGGAAACCGGCAGACUUGAGUACGGGAGAGGAGAGCGGAAUUCCUGGUGUAGAGGUGAAAUUCGUAGAUAUCAGGAGGAACACCAGCGGCGAAGGCGGCUCUCUGGUCCGAUACUGACGCUCAUGGUCGAAAGCGUGGGGAGCAAACAGGAUUAGAUA